UCUCUCUCUGUUAUUCCUCAGAUCCCCCCCUUCCGCCAAACACCUCUCCGUCGCUCCCUCCUCCCCUCCACCAGCCAUGAUGGCCACCCUCACCGCCACCGCCGCCGUCGCCUCCUCCUCCGUCGCCAUCCGCCCGUUCCGCUCCCACAAGCCCUCCCGCGCGCCCGCCGGGAUCCGGUGCUCCGUCGCCGAGGGCCCCGCGAUCUCCCAGCCGAGGGCCGCCGGCGGGGGACUGGUUGAUUGCGUGGUGGUCGGGAGCGGGAUCAGCGGGCUCUGCAUCGCCCAGGCGCUCGCCACGAAGCACCGCGACAGGGCCCCCGACGUGGUCGUCACCGAGGCCAGGGACCGCGUCGGCGGCAACAUCACCACCGUCGAGAGGGACGGCUACCUGUGGGAGGAGGGCCUCAAUAGUUUCCAGCCAUUCCGAGAUUUGAAGAAAAUGGAGAGGACAAAGCAAUCGUUGGAUAGAUGCUCAAGAACACUCAGACUUCACUUGCAGAAGAACAAGAACGCAAUCGCCAGUUGACAAAGCCUGUAACUGCUGAAAAGGUAGGAUAUAGUUCUAUGUAUUGUUGAUAUUCAAUAGUUGUGUACUUUUUCUCUCACUGACGAUGCAAAUUUCUCUUUUAUAAGUAAUGUCCCUGUUCCAAUCAUUUAAGUAUCACUCAGUGUUUUUAUGCAUGUUCUUGAUCUGAAUCCUGUGGUAUGUUCCUAUUGUCGGGAGAAGAGUGAAAGCAUCCAGAACAAGCUUGAGUCAUUUUCGAAGAAGCAGAAGUUGCCCAUAACAAGCGCUUUGGCCAUGUCAGAUGCUUCAGACCCUUCUACAGAGAAAGUAGUAGCACAAGAUGCAAACUCAAAAGGAGUGACUAAUUGCGUUGUCCCUGCUCAUAGGAGGUCAAAAGUAAGGGGUGUGCUCCUGCAAAAUCCUGAAGAUGUAUAGCUAGACGUGGGAAGUUAUCCUUCAAGAUGGUUUACUUUGUUCUGUAAGUACAACAUUAGGUGUCGGAAUCAGGAGCAAGAUGUUACACCCAACCCUUAGGAUAAACGCUUAGUUUUUUAUUUUUAUUUUUGAAGUUAUAAUUUCAAGCCUGUCCAUGUUUGUGAAAUCUAAUUGAGCUGGUACAUAUUCUUGCCUAGAAGGUCUUGCAAUUUA